AUUCUGAUUAGAUUCACACCAAAGCAUAAGCAUAAAGAAUCAACUCCUUCGAAGGGACUAUGUCUUUUCUCUCUCUUUUUUUUUCCGGUUUUUCUUCUGGACAAAUAAAAAAUAUCAGUGAUUGAUGUGCUACCCAUAUGUAUAGCAUCACAAUGUGCACAGAAUUUUUAUAAGAAGAUAUAUUACACCUUUCAAUCUAACUGUUUCUUUGCACUGAAUAUCCAUCCUCUAUUUGGAAGACUGUAACAACUAACAUUCCUUUGAAACUUCAAACAGUCAAGGAACAUAAUUCAAUUUCAACCAUGAAUGAUAGUAGCAUCAAUAGGUUCUUUAUUUCCUUCUUUUGGAGUAUAUUUAUAAGGAACCAUAACAAUUUAUCAACUAGCAUACUGCUUCCUACACGAGAAACAAAUCAUGAAAGGGAAGGAAGAACUUACAAAAUGUGAAGCAAUAAUCCUUGGGAACAAGGAAGCAACAAGCAUCCCCGGAACUAGUCGAUCUUCAAACCCUGCUUUCUGGGCACACUCAAGAUCAAAAUGCAGAGGAUUUGAGUCAAGGCUCACCUUCGAAUAUUCAAGAACGUCUGAACUUGAAAAAACCCUUUCUUGCUUUAAUUUGUCUCCACAU